CAGGGAAUCUUGCACAAUGGGCGAAAGCCUGAUGCAGCGACGCCGCGUGGGGGAUGAAGGCCUUAGGGUCGUAAACCCCUUUCAGCAGGGACGAAAAUGACGGUACCUGCAGAAGAAGCCCCGGCCAACUACGUGCCAGCAGCCGCGGUAAGACGUAGGGGGCGAGCGUUGUCCGGAUUUAUUGGGCGUAAAGAGCUCGUAGGCGGUUGCGUAAGUCGGAUGUGAAAACUCAGGGCUCAACCCUGAGACGCCAUCCGAUACUGCGCUGACUUGAAUCCAGUAGGGGAGUGUGGAAUUCCUGGUGUAGCGGUGAAAUGCGCAGAUAUCAGGAGGAACACCCAUGGCGAAGGCAGCACUCUGGGCUGGUAUUGACGCUGAGGCACGAAAGCGUGGGUAGCAAACAGGAUUAGAUACCCCCGUAGUCCCUGAGCGGGCUGGCAAGGCGCAU
rnacentral:rRNA from 1 species